GUCUAGCGUAGCAUCAUCUCACCAGCGCAAGCAUGAAUGUGAAACCCACAACUGUGUUGGUGAUACUGGCGUGCUUCAGCCUCAUGGUGCCAACAGACGCCUUGAUAUUCACGAAAGCAGGGCUCAUAACAGGGCUCAUACUCACGAAAAAAGGGCUCGUUUUAGACGUUAUAAAGGGAAAAGCUGCCGCCAUCGCCGUAAAGACUCUCUUCGCCAAGAAACUGUUCAAGAAGAAGGCGAUAAAACAAUUUUUUAAUAAAAAACAAGUUGGGGCUAUAGCUAAAUACCCCCCUUUCGCAUAAUAAUAGCUUUGUAUUGGUUAUGUUCAAUAUUGCUUCAGCUUCUUGUAUGAAUUGUAGUAAAUAGCUGCUACUUCUUCACAUUAUACUUCCUGUUCGUCAAUUUAUUACUCUGUUUGAGGAAUCACGAAAACAAAUCAAGUUUUAUAGGCGACUGACUUUUAAACCGCACCAAUAUAUCUAACUUGUUUUGAAUUCAGCUAUGAAGUUUUUACGAUUCCUGAACAUUAUUAGUAAGUGAUAUUUGGAUAUUUGACUGUACUGAAAUCAUGUUUGCAGUCCCCUUUCUAGGGAACAUACUUGGGAAAAUUAUUUUUCGUUAGAAGGGGAACGAUGUUAAUGUAUUUAAUGAAUAAAGUCCAUUGUUUAUUU
rnacentral:lncRNA from 1 species